UUCUCCUUCACGCUUUCUCAUUUGACAACCCUAAUUUUAGAACCUGCCGCUGCAAUUCUUCUUGCCUUUAACCUCACGCUGUAACGGUGGAACAUUAAGAACCUGCAAAAGCUUCAUAUCUUUGGAUCCCAAAACCAUCGAUUUGUCUCAACCAAGUUCUUUUCAUGUUUGCUAGAUGUUUUUCAAAUCACAGAGCCUAGAUGGGGAUAUGAUUGAUUGUGUACACAUCUCUCACCGGCCCGCUUUUGAUCAUCCAUUUCUCAAAGACCCUUGAUAUUUUUGCAAUUAAUCAGAGAUGAAGAUCGGAUAAUAAAGGUUUUGAGCAGUUAGCUUAUGGACAUUUGAAUAUUGAAGAAAAGAGUAGAAAGGAGGUUAUAUGUGUUUUCUGGAAGAUGCAUGAGCUGGAAAUUAAACCAAAUGGUGACGUGUUUGGCUAUUUUGAAUGAUUGUAGUUGUUGCAGUUCGUUUGAAGAAGCUUCAUUGCUAUUGGAAUAACUUAGUUUAUUUGAUAACCAAGUUGACGGUGUGGCCCAUGGGCGUUUGAUGGGCUAUAGAGAAAACGUCUGGUCCAUUCUCUCUCUUUUCAAUGAGGUCAAACUUAUGGAUUCUGCAACUGCAUCCGCUUCCAAAGAAGAAGACGAAGGCUUUGGGAAUGGCUAUUAAAGUUAUCGUCUAUUAUCAUCAAGCUCUUUAGUCCAAAACAGAUUAUGCCUAUUUUUAAAUUGCAGGCCAGUAAGCAAAGAUAGUGUACAACCACUCCAUGAAGGUAUUGUUUGGAUUCUCUAAUAGCCAUCUUAGUAUCGAAAGAAGGGAUGAACUGAAUUACUUUUUUUUUGCAAAGAGAAGUUGUCACCUUCAGGUUAAACGCACUCCAUGGAAGACACCAAUUUAAAAGGUAACGCGUUGAGUGGCAAGGGCAUUGGUACUAUGGUCCAUGCUAAGCAAUAUGGGAGUGACUUAGUUGAACCCAGGGUAUAAUCGACAAUUUAUACCACAACGUCAAGCCAAAACCGUUGAUUGUAGCAUUGUUGGGUUCUUUGAUAAAGAGUGGCUUUCAAAGCUUCUUAAGGUUUUGGGUUCAGACAUUGUUGAUGUAAUAACACUCCAUUUGUAUAAUUUGGACCAGAACUAGGCCUCUCUGGAGGUCGCCAGUUCGAAACUGAGCUGAACCAGGUUUUACCGCAGUGGGCCUUCGAGCGGGCAUUUGAAGACACGUUCAAUCAAUUGAGCGACAUCAGUAAUCGUUCUUCACAUUGCCACUAGGUGGUUCCAGCUAUUUAAGUUGCAAGUUGCAUUAGCGGGGUUACAAGUGAAGAUCUCUCGGAGAGACCUGAAGCCCAAAUUGAUGAUCGCAACUGGUAGUAUGAAUCCAAUGAUCUGGACAAUGGUUCCACCUCCUUUUCAGCAGAUGGAACCUGCACCAUGGUUUCCACCACUUCGAUUUCAUCUUAAAGCGAUGGAUGUAGAAGACAGCUGUGUUAUUACUCAUGUUCAAUAUAAGCUCUUUCGUGUUCAUGUGAGCAAGAAGAGAGGAAGACACAAAGGAGGUGUGAAACAUAGUUCAGAUGAUACAGGUUCAGGUGUCAAAUUUGUAUCAUGUAAACUGUGUUUGACACAUCCUUUGUUUCUUUCUCUCUUCUUGCUCACAUGAACACGAAAGAGGUUAUCUUGAACAUGAUGUUAUCUAUUAAAGGAGCUUAUAUGAUGACAUAGAAUUGGCUACGUGUCAAUCUCUCAGCUAUGACAAGGUUUAAAGCUAUUGAAUGGCUUGAAAGUAUUUUUGAAUAAUGGAUGUGUUUUUUCACUUUACAAGCACACAUUUACCAUAGACUUAGUUUGGUCAGAUAAUUUGGAAUGGGUCCAACUGGUAAUCAAUUAUGGAUUUGAAGCAACAUAUCAAAGGGAAGUUGUUGAAGUUGGAGGUUGAUCAUCGAAAUACAUCAAGUUAUCAAGAUAUGAUUGUACAGGUUUCAAACCAUAUUGUCAAUUAGAGUAUUUGAUUCAUUUAAGAUUGAUGUGAAACAAUUAUAUAAAGUUUAGUUGAUUUUAUGAUUGAAAUAGUGUGAUUGUAUUAAGAAUUAUAUAUACCUAAGUAACUUGGUGCGUUUUUGUC